rnacentral:rRNA from 1 species
CGUAGGAUGCAAGCGUUGUCCGGAUUAUUGGGCGUAAAGAGUUCGUAGGUGGUUUGUUAAGUCUGAUGUUAAAUACUGGGGCUCAACCCUGGGACUGCAUUGGAUACUGGCAGACUGGAGUGUGGUAGAGGCAAUCGGAAUUCCAGGUGUAGCGGUGAAAUGCGUAGAUAUCUGGAAGAACACCGGUGGCGCAAGCGGAUUGCUGGGCCAUCACUGACACUGAGGAACGAAAGCUAGGGGAGCAAAUGGGAUUAGAUACCCCAGUAGUCCUAGCUGUAAACGAUGGAUACUAGGCGUAUCGGGUAUCGACCCCUGAUGUGCCGUAGCAAACGCGAUAAGUAUCCCGCCUGAGUAGUACGGCCGCAAGGUUG